ACUUUUCUUUGCAUUUACCACACCCACCAAAGGCUGUGUUGAAAAUGUCAGCAGGAGUCUUUUCUAUCCUCUCUUCCCCCCCCCCCUCCCUGAGAAAAGGUCUGGCCCGCAUACUAAUUUGUCACCUGGACUAAAGUAUUACAGCAUUCUCGGGCUGGAAGAUGUUUGAGGCUGAGAAUGCUGCCCUGUCAGAAAUGAACCCGACGUAUUCAAGUUUUCAAUCUGCUGUGCAAGAGAGACUUGUGAUGGAGGAAGAGCUCAAGAAGGCACUGGAUCGCUGUAAGGAGCUGGAGCAGAGCAGUGUGCCUGCAGUGGACGGGGUGGACAUAUUCGAGUGCUACAAAGUAACGGGAGAAGGAAGAGUACUUGAAACAGAGACGUAACCUAUAGCUGUGUUCCAUUUACCUCCGGAUGGGAAAAAUAGGGUUUUUCCUUCGAGCAUCGACAGUGGACUCCCCGACAGAUAGCUGGGUAUCGACGCGUACUCUGACGUGAUCAAACUAAUCAUCUGCAUCAGUGUCCAUAGAGAUAUGCCCCACCCACUCUGUGAGUCUCCACCUACGUACUGGAGAGUGCAUAGCAGAUACUAACAUACUUGUGUUGUGUGCUUAGAUCUUUAAUACGGGCUGUCUAUAUACUAAAUAGAUAUAAUUAUGCUUUCAAUUCCUGCGUACAUUGGUGUGUCAUGGUAUUGAUGUUAAGAGCUUCGUAUGUCUCUUGUCAUUGAUGUACUAUUCUGGGAAUCCCUCUACUAUGAUCAAACAACAUGAUAAUCAUCGACAUGUGCUCUUAAUAUUAUUGCUCUUGUACGUACUUUGUCCAGAUUCUACUACUAAUCUAUUUCAGUGUGAGGCUAUUGACUUAUUUUAUGCCUCUAUGUGUAACGUUGAGCGCUAUGUUAACACUCCCCCAGGUUCAGAAAUGUUGUGUUUAAGAUCAUGUUAGGGUGCUCUGCCACAUGCAUAACUUGUGAUGUGAGCAAGUUUGAGGUGUCUGGUCGUUUCCUGGGCAGGCAGAUAGAGAAGGUGGAGCUGGUCUUCCAGAUGAGGGGAGCAAUAAAGGGAGUACUAAUAUGAUUUUGUGUUAUGUAGAAUACAUGCA